CUGUAAUCUUUUGGAGCAGGUUGAAAUACCUUAAAUCUUUAAAUUAGUUGGCUCAGUAGACCCUGGUAAACAGUGGCUUUUGUGUUUCAGGCUGCAGUGUCUGGGUCAGUGCAAGCUUCAGAUAGACUUAUGGAAGAGCUCAGGGACAUAUACAGAUCACAGAGUUAUAAGACAGUGAUCUUCAGAUCUUAAAAGAAAAACAAGGGAUAGGAGACAUUUUGCUUAUCUUUCAAGUGCUCCUGACAGCAUCUCAGAGGAUGGUGCCCUCAGGCUUACUCUCUGGGAAAUGCUGCUCUGUUGGAAAUCCAGAGUUCUGAGUGAUUCCCAUGUGUUUUCUGCUGCAGAGCAGGACAUACUGAAGUGAUUCCUUCAUGAGCAGAUAUUAGAGGUCUCCUUUUGACAGCUUGUUACAAAGGUGAUCACAAAUAUACUAUUAGGUGAGUGUAAGUCCCAGGUUGAGUGUGAAGCACAGUUGUUUAGAAUUGUGUACUGUUUUAUUUUGCUACCUUUAAAGCUUCUCUGGGCGGUUUUGGUUUCAGCAGUAAAAUUGCU
rnacentral:lncRNA from 1 species